rnacentral:rRNA from 1 species
UUCUGGCUCAGGAUGAACGCUAGCGGCAGGCUUAACACAUGCAAGUCGAGGGGCAUCGGGAGUAGCAAUACUUGCCGGCGACCGGCGCAAGGGUGCGUAACGCGUGAGCAACAUGCCCGUAUCAGGGGGAUAAUCCAUGGAAACGUGGUCUAAUACCCCAUAGUAAUUAUGUAAGGCAUCUUAUAUAAUUUAAAGCUUUGGUGGAUACGGAUUGGCUCGCGUGACAUUAGCUAGAUGGUAAGGUAACGGCUUACCAUGGCUACGAUGUCUAGGGGUUCUGAGAGGAAGGUCCCCCACACUGGAACUGAGACACGGUCCAGACUCCUACGGGAGGCAGCAGUGAGGAAUAUUGGACAAUGGAUGGAAAUCUGAUCCAGCCAUGCCGCGUGCAGGAAAGACGGCCCUAUGGGUUGUAAACUGCUUUUGUAUGGGAGCAAUAAGGGCUACGUGUAGUCCGAUGAGAGUACCAUACGAAUAAGCACCGGCUAACUCCGUGCCAGCAGCCGC